GUGGGGAAUUUUGGACAAUGGACGCAAGUCUGAUCCAGCCAUGCCGCGUGCGGGAAGAAGGCCUUCGGGUUGUAAACCGCUUUUGUCAGGGAAGAAAUCUUCUGGGUUAAUACCUCGGGAGGAUGACGGUACCUGAAGAAUAAGCACCGGCUAACUACGUGCCAGCAGCCGCGGUAAUACGUAGGGUGCAAGCGUUAAUCGGAAUUACUGGGCGUAAAGCGUGCGCAGGCGGUUAUGCAAGACAGGUGUGAAAUCCCCGAGCUCAACUUGGGAACUGCACUUGUGACUGCAUAGCUAGAGUACGGUAGAGGGGAGUGGAAUUCCGCGUGUAGCAGUGAAAUGCGUAGAUAUGCGGAGGAACACCGAUGGCGAAGGCAGCUCCCUGGACCUGUACUGACGCUCAUGCACGAAAGCGUGGGGAGCAAACAGGAUUAGAAACCCCAGUAGUCC
rnacentral:rRNA from 1 species